UACGUAGGGGGCAAGCGUUGUCCGGAAUCAUUGGGCGUAAAGCGCGUGUAGGCGGCCCGGUAAGUCCGCUGUGAAAGUCGGGGGCUCAACCCUCGAAUGCCGGUGGAUACUGUCGGGCUAGAGUCCGGAAGAGGAGAGUGGAAUUCCUGGUGUAGCGGUGAAAUGCGCAGAUAUCAGGAAGAACACCCGUGGCGAAGGCGGCUCUCUGGGACGGUACUGACGCUGAGACGCGAAAGCGUGGGGAGCAAACAGG
rnacentral:rRNA from 1 species